rnacentral:rRNA from 1 species
GACGAACGCUGGCGGCGUGCCUAAUACAUGCAAGUUGAGCGCUGAAGGUUGGUACUUGUACCGACUGGAUGAGCAGCGAACGGGUGAGUAACGCGUGGGGAAUCUGCCUUUGAGCGGGGGACAACAUUUGGAAACGAAUGCUAAUACCGCAUAACAACUUUAAACACAAGUUUUAAGUUUGAAAGAUGCAAUUGCAUCACUCAAAGAUGAUCCCGCGUUGUAUUAGCUAGUUGGUGAGGUAAAGGCUCACCAAGGCGAUGAUACAUAGCCGACCUGAGAGGGUGGACGGCCACAAUGGGACUGAGACACGGCCCAAACUCCUACGGGAGGCAGCAGUAGGGAAUCGUCGGCAAUGGACGAAAGUCUGACCGAGCAACGCCGGGUGAGUGAAGAAGGUUUUCGGAUCGUAAAACUCUGUUGGUAGAGAAGAACGUUGGUGAGAGUGGAAAGCUCAUCAAGUGACGGUAACUACCCAGAAAGGGACGGCUAACUACGUGCCAGCAGCCGCGGUAA